rnacentral:rRNA from 1 species
GAUGAACGCUAGCGGCAGGCCUAACACAUGCAAGUCGAGGGAGAAGUAUUUUCGGAUACAGAAACCGGCGCACGGGUGCGUAACGCGUAUAUAAUCUACCUUAUACAGAGGGAUAGCCCGAAGAAAUUUGGAUUAAUACCUCAUAGUAUUAUUGAUUGGCAUCGAUUAAUAAUUAAAGCUGAGGCGGUAUAAGAUGAGUAUGCGUCCUAUUAGCUAGUUGGUAUGGUAACGGCAUACCAAGGCUACGAUAGGUAGGGGUCCUGAGAGGGAGAUCCCCCACACUGGUACUGAGACACGGACCAGACUCCUACGGGAGGCAGCAGUGGGGAAUAUUGGUCAAUGGUCGGAAGACUGAACCAGCCAUGCCGCGUGCAGGAAGACGGCCUUAUGGGUUGUAAACUGCUUUUGUAAGGGAAGAAUAAGUCGUAUGUAUACGGCGAUGACGGUACUUUACGAAUAAGCAUCGGCUAACUCCGUGCCAGCAGCCGCGGUAAUACGGAGGAUGCGAGCGUUAUCCGGAAUCAUUGGGUUUAAAGGGUCUGUAGGCGGGUUAUUAAGUCAAGGGUGAAAGUUUGUUGCUUAACGAUAAAGUUGCCUUUGAUACUGGUAGCCUUGAACUUUUGUGAAGUUGCUGGAAUGAGUAGUGUAGCGGUGAAAUGCAUAGAUAUUACACAGAACACCGAUUGCGAAGGCAUGUGACUAACAAAGGAUUGACGCUGAGAGACGAAAGCGUGGGGAGCGAACAGGAUUAGAUACCCUGGUAGUCCACGCUGUAAACGAUGGAUACUAGCUGUUUGGAGCGAUCUGAGUGGCUAAGCGAAAGUGAUAAGUAUCCCACCUGGGGAGUACGCACGCAAGUGUGAAGCUCAAAGGAAUUGACGGGGGCCCGCACAAGCGGUGGAGCAUGUGGUUUAAUUCGAUGGUACGCGAGGAACCUUACCAAGGUUUAAAUGUACUACGCAUAAUUUAGAGAUAGAUUAGUCUUCGGACGGAGUACAAGGUGCUGCAUGGUUGUCGUCAGCUCGUGCCGUGAGGUGUCAGGUUAAGUCCUAUAACGAGCGCAACCCCUAUUGUUAGUUACCAUCAAGUAAAGUUGGGGACUCUAGCAAGACUGCCGGUGCAAACCGUGAGGAAGGUGAGGAUGACGUCAAAUCAUCACGGCCCUUACAUCUUGGGCUACACACGUGCUACAAUGGUCGUUACAGAGAGCAGCCACUGCGUGAGCAGGAGCGAAUCUAUAAAGACGGUCACAGUUCGGAUCGGAGUCUGCGACUCGACUCCGUGAAGCAGGAAUCGCUAGUAAUCGGAUAUCAGCCAUGAUCCGGUGAAUACGUUCCCGGGCCU